rnacentral:ncRNA from 1 species
AAAAAGCAACACGGGUGCCGGGUCUUCCUCUAUAAAACUGUUUUUUAUUUACCCUAUCCUUGGAUGGGGUAAAAAUAAACAAUAAUAUUGAGGAAUGGACGCCGAGCUGAGAUCAUACCGUCGUUAGCGGAUCAGGAUAAUGCCUGCGUCGCUAGUUGCUUUUUGAGUUUG